ACACGGAGGGCGCAAGCGUUGCUCGGAAUCACUGGGCGUAAAGCGGGUGUAGGCGGUCUAGCAAGUCAGAUGUGAAAGCCCACGGCUCAACCGUGGAAGUGCAUCUGAAACUGCUAGACUUGAGUGCCGGAGAGGGAAGUGGAAUUCCUGGUGUAGGGGUGAAAUCCGUAGAUAUCAGGAGGAACACCGGUGGCGAAGGCGACUUCCUGGACGGCCACUGACGCUGAGACCCGAAAGCGUGGGGAGCAAACAGGAUUAGAAACCCCAGUAGUCC
rnacentral:rRNA from 1 species